rnacentral:sRNA from 1 species
GUUUCAAUUCCUCAUAGGCAGGCUAUCGGCCUUAUGGAGAUCGAUGAAAUCCUGAAAUCGGCUGAAG